AAGACAACGCACUUUUGUUCAAAUCAGCUGAGGUAAUGGCAAACAGAGAACCCUCUGACUUCAGCUACUCUCAGAGUCCUUCUGUUCACAGCGUUACUUUGUGCUGGACACCCGGAUUUGCUGCUUAAGUGCUGAACAUGUUCAGACAAGAUGGAAGAAAUUGUUCAAAAAGGGAGAUGGGAAGAAAAAAAAUUCUCUGAAGAUGGAGGAGUAUCCGUGUCAGGAUGAAGAAAUUGGCAAGUGGAUAAAUGUGACAAAACAGAAAAAGAGAAGGAAAGAAAAUUCACUAGGUGUGUUUGAUUGAACAGCUUGUAUGAGACUGAUUUUUUUACUGGAGUCUUCCAGCUGUCGGUGAAAAACAGGAGUUGGAUGGAGAGUUUCACCAAGCCACAAAUUUUUGAGCUGGAUCUCAAGAUGAGUAGGAAUUUACCAAGGGAUAAAAAAAAAAAAAAAAAGGAGAGAGAAGAGAAUGCUUCACCAGCAGAGAAAGCAAGCAGCAUGGACCACAGGGUCAUCAAGUGAACACUGAUGAGGCCACAACUGUGCUACUGGUCCAAUGCACUGAGAAGGCCAUUAGCCCAUCCGGUGAAACUGAAUGUAAGACCAGAAAGGAACCUCGGAGGUGACAAGUGAGUGACGGUGCAUUAGAUGUGUUGCAAGUUCAUGACUUUACAAUCUGAUUGGAAGGAGAAUUACCCACAUUAUUUUCACUUGUCGAAGGAAGAGGAAGUCUAGUAAAGAAACAGAACUGAAAGAGAGACCAAAUGGCCAUUCGUCUUCUGAGUCAUUUCUAUUCUGUUUAUUUCUCCAUUUGCUCAAUUUCUUUGAGUACGCAUGAGGCUGAACUCGCAUGUCAUCAGGGGAGAGAGUGAUGGCCCAGUGGUUCUAUUGAGUCCACGUAUGUGCUUGCCGUUACUCACAGCUGGGCUGACUUGGGGGAUUUUACCUUUGGAUCGGAGCAUACAAAUACUUCCAUCAAUAUUCUAUUUCCCAAAGGCAUGUUUCCAGAAUGAAUUAUGCUCACAAACCAAGGUUUUACUGUACUUCAUGUCUUCCUCUCAGCUGCCAGACUGAGGUGAGAUGCAGUGUGAACGUGGAGCCGGUGCAGACAUGAAAUUUAUCUUCAAAGGCGAGUGAGAAGGGGGUGAUAUAGAGAUCGGGAGAUGAAUGAACCCCUGAAGUUUACUUUGGAAAACUUCUGGUUUUUAAACCACAUCCAGAUUAUCAGUGCGGUGCUUUGGAAAGUAUCACAUUUGUUGGAGAUCACUGUUGUCCACUGUCUUGGCCAUUAGGGGACUGAUGUAGGAAGAGUGGAUACAAGUAUUUUCAGCUUGAAAAACAUUCAUGCGGAUGUCGGUGCAGGCUCACCAGUCUGGAAGUUUUGUGUGGGCACUCCGCAGCGGAAUCGCCAGAUAAGAGAUACUGAAUAGUUUUGCGAGAAGAACUUGAGAGGAAAGAGGGAAGGUCGUGGCGGUGAGGAGUUUGCCCUUUCUGCAGUUGACAGCGGUGAAUAAAUUACUGGUGGAAGAGAAACGAUUCAUGCAUCGGACUUUUUCAUUGUGUCCUCAGGAUCAUAAAACAUAUUUGAUAAACAUUUCUGAGACCAAGUUGCUCUGAGAUUGUUAUCGUUACUAACUAUUCUUUGUGUAAUAGCAGAACUCGUUUUGUAAGACACAAAUGACCCUAUUCUCCUGGUCUGAAUGGAAGAUGGAGAUUUGCUCGUCACAUCCACCUGUGUAUGUUCUGAGGCAGGAUACAUGCACUGUGGGAGGAUGUAGAAAAGAAUAAAAAUGGACUCCUUCACCUUCUCGAUCUCAAGUCCUCUCCUGGCCAGACUGCUGCAGACAGAGGUGGCACAUGGCCUUUGGACAUAGCCCUUCGAUGCUGCUGUGAACAUGAAUCAUGACGAUAUUUUGAGAAGUCCUUCUACUGAUGCUCAGGCUGAAAGCCGUGGUCACUUGACCACAUAUCUGCACCUAACAUGUCAACAUCCUCGCCAUACACCUCAGUCCUUCUGCUGCCAAUCACAGCUUGUCUAUCUUAAGUCCCAUCCCCUCAGGACCCUGCAUUCUUUGCAAUGAUAAUGGGUGCUAAUGGAAUAAUUUGAGAGACUAAUCUCUGAUAAUGUUACUCUUCUCAAGUAAAAGUCUAUUUUAGUCUAGUUAAAAUGCAGAGCACCUUUAGAAGGUCUUUAUGGAGUGACAGGAAAAUUGGAAAUUUCUGACAGACCAAUCAAGAGAAGAUAUUUUGCACCAGUGAGUUAGCUGCACUAGCUGAGUGUUCUGCAGGUUGACUGAUGGAGCAGUGGAGACUGCAUUUGCCCAUCCACGUUAAAUAACCAAAUCUAGAAAAACAAUUCAAACAAUGGGUUGCAGAAACAGGACACCAGGCAGCACAGGAUACUGAUCCACAAUAGAGGAGAAACAAACAAGAACCUACAUGGGAAGAAAGUACUCCUUGACGAACUCACCCGCAAAAGAACAUAUGUGUAAAGAAUUUCUCUAUGUGAAUAAAUAAUUUUGAUAAAACACAUCCUUAAAUGAAGAAUGAGGGCAUCUGGAAUCUUUCAUGUACCUUUUGCUUCUGUGAUGGAUCUUUAGGGGAACAUCUCUCAAUGUUGCAGUUAGAACUUCGCAUCUUUGAUUCUUUUGGAUUUGGAAGGUGUCUUCUUUGAUUUCUAUAGAAUGGUCUGGUUUCCAUUUACCAGAAGGUACAGAAGAAAGAGAAGACUAUUUGGUGAAAAACUACAUGAUUCGUAAUAUUUAGAAGACAAUUUAUUCUGAUCAGCUGAAUAACCCUAAUCAAAAUGUGUGAACUCUGACAUUAUUUUGUUCUCCACUUGGAAAUGAUUUCUGUCCUUGGACCUUGAUCCACAUGUUGCAAAAGAAUAUUUUAAAAAGAGAAUAAUUACCCACCAUGCUCUGUCACAGUGUCCACUGCCACCUGAGAACAAAAAAGCUCUCUUAUUUACUAACGACGUCCUUAGUUUUCCUUUGUGUCGUUUUCCCCCUUAUGUAUGUGGCGCCUCGUGUUUUUUACGCUUCUUUGCCAUCCUGCUGUGAGGAAGAAUAGUAAUCACAUCUAAUUAGAAAAAAUUAAAAUGCUAUGACUCACAGAAA